AGCAUCGACACUCUUCGUAUCGAUAAUAACAUCAAUCAUGCAACUGCUGCGUGUUUUUCUUUUUGUGCAUCGCAAGUGUAGUAACCACGCACAGCAGAGGGCACUGUUGCUUUAAAAACCAUGACCCUCCAUGUUGGGCUCAACAGGUGAAGAUAGUCAGGGCAGGUUAUUAUGUGCAGUGACACCAGCGCGGGGGUGGACCCUACCCCAUCACUGGUGGGAUAGGCGACUAAGAGAGGCGGUGCUGGCGACCCACCUUCGUCUUUGAUGACAGGACACCGACCUCUUCAGCUUCAUAAGGAAACAAGGCGGAGGGAGGGAGAACAUGCCACAGAGCCUAUAUCGGCUCCCCACAGCCCUUGUUCCUUCUAAAUAG